rnacentral:rRNA from 1 species
UACGAAGGGGGGCUAGCGUUGCUCGGAAUCACUGGGCGUAAAGGGUGCGUAGGCGGGUCUUUAAGUCAGGGGUGAAAUCCUGGAGCUCAACUCCAGAACUGCCUUCGAUACUGGAAGACUUGAGUCCGGGAGAGGUGAGUGGAACUGCGAGUGUAGAGGUGAAAUUCGUAGAUAUUCGCAAGAACACCAGUGGCGAAGGCGGCUCACUGGCCCGGUACUGACGCUGAGGUGCGAAAGCGUGGGGAGCAAACAGG